rnacentral:rRNA from 1 species
CGCUCGUAGUCGGGUUUCGGGUCGGGCCGAGCGGUCUGCCGAUGGGUAUGCACUGUUUGGCGCGGCCUUCUUUCCGGAGACCGCGGCUACUCUUAACUGAGCGGGCGUGGGAGACGGAUCGUUUACUUUGAAAAAAUCAGAGUGUUUCAAGCAGGCAGCUCGCUCUUGCAUGGUACAGCAUGGGAUGAUUGAAUAGGACUCCGGUGCUAUUUUGUUGGUUUCGAACACCAGGAGUAAUGAUUAACAGGGACAGUCAGGGGCACUCGUAUUCCGUCGAGAGAGGUGAAAUUCUCAGACCAAUGGAAGACGAACCACUGCGAAAGCAUUUGCCAGGGAUGUUUUCACUGAUCAAGAACGAAAGUUAGGGGAUCGAAGACGAUCAGAUACCGUCGUAGUCUUAACCAUAAACCAUGCCGACUAGGGAUUGGAGGGUGUUCGUUUCGACCUCUUCAGCACCUUACGGGAAACUAAAGUCUUUGGGUUCUGGGGGGAGUAUGGUCGCAAGGCUGAAACUUAAAGGAAUUGACGGAAGGGCACUACCAGGAGUGGAGCUUGCGGCUUAAUUUGAUUCAACACGGGGAAACUUACCAGGUCCAGACAUUGUUAGGAUUGACAGAUUGAGAGCUCUUUCUUGAUUCGAUGGGUGGUGGUGCAUGGCCGUUCUUAGUUGGUGGAGUGAUUUGUCUGGUUAAUUCCCAUAACGAACGAGACCGUAGCCUGCUAAAUAGUCCCCGCGAACUUCUUGUUGGCGGCCGACUUCUUAGAGGGACAACUUGUGACC